GCCUGGGUGGCUCAGUUGGUUAAGCGUCUGACUUUGGCUCAGGUCACGAUUUCAUGGUUCGUGAGUUCGAGCCUCGCAUCGGGCU
rnacentral:tRNA from 1 species